rnacentral:lncRNA from 1 species
GUUAUUCCCAGACAUGUUUAUAACCGUGCUGUACGGUGAGAACGAGCAGGCUCUUUUUAACAUUAACUGUAAGGUCCAGGUUCUCCUGGAGAGUAUCAAGCGCUGCUGUGGCCGUGAGAGUGAAGAGGAAAUUGAGGUGGCAGAUGAGAGCGGCCAGGUGAAGAAUUUGCUCCAGAACCAGCAUUGCUAUGCCUCGGAGCUGCUGAAUGAGAGAGAACUGUGUGUGCUCCUCAGUGUUGCACGAUCAGAUGGCUCUGAAAAGGCAGUAUUUACACCGUUGCUGAAAGAUGAAGGCAUUAUUAACCCUAAAUUUCUAGCAAAGCUGGGGAAUUGGGAAGACUCCAAGGUACCGUCUGCCCGAGCAAGAUCCAGAAAGGCCAGCAGAAAACCCACCUUGCACUUAAGAGAUCCCAGCUGCUGAUAGUAAAAGGACUCAGUCACCCCAGGGCAACAGGAAUAAAAUGGUUUCCCCUUCUAAACA